CGAGACUCUGGAAAGCCGCGGCAUGAUGCGCGGCGCCGAAGAAGCAAUCCCCUGCCAGGGUGCGGGGAGAAUCUUUCAGGCGAUAUGAACAGAGGC
rnacentral:ncRNA from 1 species